rnacentral:rRNA from 1 species
GAGAGUUUGAUCCUGGCUCAGGAUGAACGCUGGCGGCGUGCCUAAUACAUGCAAGUCGAACGAAUCUUCUUCGGAAGAUGAGUGGCGAACGGGUGAGUAAUACAUAGGUAACCUGCCCCUGUGCGGGGGAUAACAGGAGGAAACUCCUGCUAAUACCGCAUAGCCAUGAGCACCGCAUGGAGCUCAUGCCAAAUAUCCUUUAUGGGAUAGCGCAGGGAUGGACCUAUGGCGCAUUAGCUUGUUGGCGGGGCAACGGCCCACCAAGGCAACGAUGCGUAGCCGGCCUGAGAGGGCGGACGGCCACAUUGGGACUGAGACACGGCCCAGACUCCUACGGGAGGCAGCAGUAGGGAAUUUUCGGCAAUGGGGGAAACCCUGACCGAGCAACGCCGCGUGAGCGAAGAAGGCCUUCGGGUCGUAAAGCUCUGUUGUAAAGGAAGAACGUCGCAUGCAGGAAAUGGUGUGCGAGUGACGGUACUUUACCAGAAAGCCACGGCUAACUA